AUGCAGUUUAUGUUGCUUUUUAGUCGUCAGGGAAAGCUUCGACUGCAGAAAUGGUAUGUCCCACUAUCAGACAAAGAGAAGAAAAAGAUCACAAGAGAACUUGUUCAAACCGUCUUAGCACGGAAACCUAAAAUGUGCAGCUUUCUUGAGUGGCGAGAUCUGAAGAUUGUUUACAAAAGAUAUGCUAGUCUGUAUUUCUGCUGUGCUAUUGAGGAUCAGGACAAUGAACUAAUUACCCUGGAAAUAAUUCAUCGUUAUGUGGAAUUACUUGACAAGUAUUUUGGCAGUGUGUGUGAACUUGAUAUCAUCUUUAAUUUUGAGAAAGCUUAUUUUAUUUUGGAUGAGUUUCUUUUGGGAGGGGAAGUUCAGGAAACAUCCAAGAAAAAUGUCCUUAAAGCAAUUGAGCAGGCUGAUCUACUGCAGGAGAGCCAGAAUGAAGAAUGGGGAGGUUUGUCUGAGGAUAUCUUAUGAUAAAGAGCAGUCUAAGGCUUUAGUCCCUUUGACCCCCAACUUAUUUAUUGGAAGCUGAAACCCCACGUAGUGUUCUUGAAGAAAUUGGACUGACAUAACUCUCCUCCCUUGUUGAUGACUUCUUGUGGCAUUUCACACACUGUAGAUGGUCACUGCCUUCAUGUCCAUGUUAGCUAAUCGUGUAAGAUGAUGUCUUGUCAGUAUUACUGUUUUGCUAAGCUGCUUCAUUCAGGCCUACACAAGUUUUUUUUUUUUAAGGGAACUUUGGCUAAUCAAGUGGUAACUUAAGGGACUUAAAUAUCAAUUAGAAUGAUGCAGAAAAAGCAAAGUACCUUUUCUGAAUAUUUUAAAGUUUAUAGGUCUAUUUCUCUAUGUGUAUCUAUGAAAAUGACACAAUCAGGCAAUAUACAUUUCUUCAUUACUGUCUUUGGCAAAGGAAACUUAAAUUAUAAAGUGAAACCUGGUUUCAUGAAACCAAAGACUCGUGCAGUAUUUCAGUAUAUAUGAGAAUAAAGGGAAUUGAUAUGUGACAUAUCGAAUGAAAAUUUAACCAUGUUGAAACUUAAAAAAAAAAAUACCAAAUUUAUACCAAAGACCCUUAUUCGAAACUACAUACCAUAAAACAAAGGGAAUACACAGAUGACUAAACUGGAACAAUGCUGUUUUACACUAAAUAUUUUCUUAGACAUUCUGAACCGGGGACGAGGAACAGUGAUCAACCGUUUCAUAAUAGUGAGCACAUUAUUUUUAAGGCCAAGGAACAUUUGACUCCUGAGAUAAAUUAUUUGUGGUCAUAAUCAUUUAGUCACUUAGUUGGAUUGUUUUUCGUGCCCCAAAAUAAAAUGGAAAUGUUGACAACCAGGAAUUCUUCAUAACAGUAUCUUACAGAAAAUGUGUUACUCUCUUCCCAAAGUGUUGUGUAAGUCAUUAAAGCACGAAUAUUCCUUCUGGGGUGCUUGUUACAGCUAAAUUUAUUUUGCUCCCCUAUUGAUUCCCUCCACUUGUAAGUAAGUGGUGUAAACUCUGGGGCAGCUUCCUUCCCUCCCAUGGCACUGCCUAGUUAUCAGAAGUCUUAUAUAAACAGACACCACCUUUCAUAUAAAGUGAGAGUUGAAUGAAGUAAAAUGGCGUUAGUGGGGCCCUCUAUUUUUUAAAGCUCUACAGUUGUUUCCACGUCACUUUUUUACAUACUUCUAGGUAUGUAAACAUGUCUUCACGGCUUACACUUUCAUUUGUAUCUGCUGGGCUGGACUAAGCUUUGUUGUGAUUGUGACCGAUAUUCAGGUCACGUGAGCAUUGUCUUAUCACAUCGCCAAUUAGUUGUAAUAAAUGUUCAACGUACCCCACUGUAGUGUGUUUUUAUCUCUUUCCAAAAGUUUGUCAAACUAUGGAGAGCUGCUGAGGAAGAAUUUUUAAUUUUUUUUCAGUAAAAUGUUGAAAAUUCAUCUCCAUUUGAACGUGGUUGUUAAAAGCACACACACAAGAUAAUUGGUGGAAGAUUUAAGGAGUCUUCAUGUACUUAAAGCUCAUUAAAAAAUAAUGUGGAUUCCAUGCUACUGAGAGCUUAUCUACACAUUUAUUUUCGAUCAAUAAAUGCCGCUUUUAAAACCUUGA